GCAACAAAUCCUGGUCCUAGCUCAAGUCAAGCCACACAAAAGCAGACAAGGGGUCCCACAUAUGUACAUGGUCAAUGGGGUACUUCAGAUGAUGGCAUUUUAAAACUUGUUUCAAAUGAGUUGAAUCAAGUAGUUGAAGGAUACACACCCCUUGCUUCACAUUUGGGCGUUCUGGCACGAGAUGGGAGUCUUGCACCACUCA